GACGAACGCUGGCGGCGUGCCUAAUACAUGCAAGUCGAGCGAGCUUGCCUAGAUGAAUUUGGUGCUUGCACCAGAUGAAACUAGAUACAAGCGAGCGGCGGACGGGUGAGUAACACGUGGGUAACCUGCCCAAGAGACUGGGAUAACACCUGGAAACAGAUGCUAAUACCGGAUAACAACACUAGACGCAUGUCUAGAGCUUAAAAGAUGGUUCUGCUAUCACUCUUGGAUGGACCUGCGGUGCAUUAGCUAGUUGGUAAGGCAACGGCUUACCAAGGCAAUGAUGCAUAGCCGAGUUGAAAGACUGAUCGGCCACAUUGGGACUGAGACACGGCCCAAACUCCUACGGGAGGCAGCAGUAGGGAAUCUUCCACAAUGGACGCAAGUCGGAUGGAGCAACGCCGCGUGAUUGAAGAAGGGUUUCGGCUCGUAAAGCUCUGUUGGUAGUGAAGAAAGAGAGAGGUAGUAACUGGCCUUCAUUUGACGGUAAUUACUUAGAAAGUCACGGCUAACUACGUG
rnacentral:rRNA from 1 species